UCGUGAGUAGCUUAGUCAGUAAAGCACCUGUCUGCAAUGCGGGAGAUCUGGGUUCAGUUCCUGGGUUGGGAA
rnacentral:tRNA from 1 species